rnacentral:rRNA from 1 species
UUUAAACGUAAAUGUAAAGGCUAGAGUAGUAAUAGAUAAAAUCUUGAAACUUAAAGAAUUUGGCGGUAAUUUAGUCUAUUCAGAGGAACCUGUUCUAUAAUCGAUAAUCCACGAUGGACCUCACUUGAGAUUGUAAUCAGCUUGUAUACCGUCGUUAUAAGGAAAUUUUAUAUAAGAAGAAUAAUUUCCAAGAAAUCCAAAUAGAUUAUAUAUCAGAUCAAGGUGCAGCUAAUGCUUAAGAAGAAAUGGGUUACAAUAAAGUUAUUUAUAUGGAAUUUUUGAUGAAAAUUGAAAAUGAAAGUGGAUUUGAAUGUAAAAUCUUAUAGAUAAAAGAUUUGAUUUUAGCUCUAAAUUAUGCAC